GAUGAACGCUAGCGGCAGGCCUAAUACAUGCAAGUCGAACGGUGUCUUCGGACAUAGUGGCGCACGGGUGCGUAACACGUAUGCAACCUACCUUACAUUGGGGGAUAGCCUUUCGAAAGGGAGAUUAAUACCGCAUAAGACAGUAGCUGGGCAUCCAGCAGCUGUUAAAGAUUUAUCGAUGUAAGCUGGGCAUGCGUCCAAUUAGCUAGUUGGUGAGGUAACGGCUCACCAAGGCAAUGAUUGGUAGGGGAACUGAGAGGUCAAUCCCCCACACUGGGACGGAGAUACGGCCCAGACUCCUACGGGAGGCAGCAGUCGAGAGGCUUCGGCAAUGGGGGAAACCCUGACCGAGCGACGCCGCGUGAAGGAUGAAGGCCCUUGGGUUGUAAACUUCUUUUGUUCGGGAAGAAAUGCGAUCAGGUAAAUAAUCUGGUCGUUUGACGGUACCGGACGAAUAAGCUCCGGCUGACUCCGUGCCAGCCGCCGCAGUAACAC
rnacentral:rRNA from 1 species